GUGCCUGAGAGUUCUGGAGGGUCAGAGGUGAAAUGUUAUGGUUUAAUACUAGGUGUCCCCCAAAUCCACAUGGACUCAAGGUUGAAGCUUCGAGAAAGUGGAUGGAUUAUGAAAGCAUUAUAUCUGACUUGCUGUUAGGAGAUGGUAUCUGGUAGGAUAAGCAGAUUUCCUCAGCAUCUGGCCAUUCCACCAUGCUGCUAACCUUCAGAGGACAGAAACUUCUACAAAUUAAAGCUCUCCUGGGCUGUCUUCUGUUCCUGGCCAACUUGGAGACUUCAUACAGUGCCCGCUGCUGGAAUGUAAAAGUGGCAGAAGGUGAAGGCAAUUACUAUUAUGUAUGCAGGUAUAUCCUUGAAUAUAUAUUCAUGACGAAC
rnacentral:lncRNA from 1 species